rnacentral:misc_RNA from 1 species
UGCUCCCUCAUUUCCACUGCAAAACCCCAUCUCCGACGUUGUUGCCGUUGUACACUUGUACGGUCGCGUAUAUAUCUGCGCCCCAGUGGCCCUCCCUCUCUCUCUCAUCACACCAAAGCCAGCAGCAGGCACGAGCAGCCUCCAGAGACCCAGUGCGUUCUCAGAGCCAAGCAGCUUGCAAUAUAAUGGCGUCGUCGCUCAAGUUCACGGUGCGGAGGCGGCCCGCGGCGCUGGUGGCGCCGGCGUCCCCGACGCCGCGGGAGCUGAAGCGGCUCUCGGACAUCGACGACCAGGACGGGCUGCGCUUCCACAUCCCCGUCAUCCAGUUCUACCGCCGGAGCGCGCUCAUGGGCGGGCGGGACCCGGCGCCGGUGGUCCGGGACGCCGUGGCCAGGGCGCUCGUGCACUACUACCCGUUCGCCGGUCGGCUCAGGGAGCUGGAAGGCCGCAAGCUCGCCGUGGAGUGCACGGGCGAGGGCGUGCUGUUCAUCGAGGCCGACACCGACGUGCGCCUCGACCACUUCGGGGACGCGCUGCAGCCGCCGUUCCCGUGCCUCGAGGAGCUCAUCUUCGACGUCCCCGGCUCGUCCGAGGUGCUGGGCUCGCCGCUCCUCCUCUUCCAGGUGACGCGGCUGGCGUGCGGGGGCUUCAUCCUCGGGGUGCGGCUGCACCACACGAUGGCGGACGCGCAGGGGCUGGUGCAGUUCCUCGACGCCGUGGCGGAGCUGGCGCGGGGCGCGGCGGCACCGACGGUCCGGCCGGUGUGGGGGCGGGAGCUGCUGGAGGCGCGCGACCCGCCGCGGCCGGCCUUCGCGCACCGCGAGUACGACGAGGUGCCGGACACCAAGGGCACCAUCAUCCCGCUGGACGACAUGGUGCACCGCUCCUUCUUCUUCGGGCGCCGGGAGGUGGCGGCCGUCCGCGCCAACCUCCCGCCGGGCCUCCGCUCGCGCGCCUCCAGGUUCGACCUCCUCACGGGGCUCCUGUGGAAGUGCCGCACCGCGGCGCUCGCCCCGGACGCCGACGAGGUGAUGCGGAUGAUCUGCAUCGUGAACGCCCGCGGCGGCAAGUCCGGCGCCGCCAUCCCCGAGGGCUACUACGGCAACGCCUUCGCGUUCCCGGUGGCCGUCGCGACGGCCGGGGACCUCGCCGCGAGGCCGCUCGGGUACGCCGUGGAGCUGGUGAAGCGGGCCAAGGGCGAGGUGGACGUGGAGUACAUGCGCUCGGUGGCCGACCUGAUGGUGCUACGCGGGCGGCCGCACUUCACGGUGGUGCGCGCGUACCUGGCGUCCGACGUGACAAAGGCCGGGUUCGGCGACCUGGACUUCGGCUGGGGCAAGCCGGUGUACGGCGGGCCCGCCAAGGGCGGCGUGGGCGCCAUCCCCGGGGUGGCCAGCUUCCUCAUCCCGUUCAAGAACGCCAAGGGCGAGGACGGCAUCGUCGUGCCCAUGUGCCUGCCCGGCCCCGCCAUGGAGACGUUCGUCAAGGAGAUGGACAAGCUGCUGAGCGCGCCCGCAGACGCAGAGGCAGAGCAGCAGAAGGAUGCGUUCCCCGUCAUCAGGUCCGCGCUCUGAAGUGAGCUCUCUGCUGAGGCAGCCGCGCGCACGGCGCCGAUCGAACCAUCGUUUUCGCUUCGUGCUACAGCAAGCAUAUAGGUAAUCAUCAGCGGGUCCUGAGCAGCUGAGCUUGUGUAACGUAGUGGGUGUGGGUGUGGGUGAACCAUAGUACGUUGACGUGCGUGGAGCUACGUUGAUGUAUACGUAUGUAAUGCGCGCA